GAUGGUUGAUUCGGCGAGACCUAAUGAGGAAUUAGGACACAGCCGUGUAACUUUCAUUGUAGGAUAAAGGACUGUCUUAGAAAAUCUUGAUCUCUCUGCGCCAUUUCAAAUGAGAAUUUCUGGCCUGGAUUCCUGGAAGAGGGUUGUCCAGUUCAGUUGCUGGAAAGAAUUGCCAUUGUUUGCAACUCACUUUUGCUCUGAAAAGCAACGACCUAUUGUCAGCUCCGAUAAGUAGAGACUCCUGAGAGACCUGCAGCUUUAACAGCAGGAGCACACUACAGCUUCUCUGGUUGCAAAACCACUUUAAUCUGGAGGUAACAAACAGGAGAGAUUAAUGGCUUUAAUUUGGACGCAUUCAGCCAAGUGCCACAUUCAUUCUUUAGCAAAGAUAGAAAGGACAUGAUUACUUGGAAAUUAAGAAAGAAAAUAUUGACUUGGUUCAUGAUCUUAAAAUGCAUUCUUAUUUACCUUAAGAUAUUUUUCAUAUCACCACGGAGAUAAGGAAUAUUCUAGUACACUGUAGUCCCAAAUCAGCAAAACUGCUUAAGUAUAUGUUUAAGUAUUUGAUGAAAUUUGAUGAACUUCAAUAGCAAAAGAUGUAUGCGCAUAAUUAAAGUUAUAGAUAAACUGGCAACUUAAGCAGGUGUUUAAACAUUGGA
rnacentral:lncRNA from 1 species